rnacentral:rRNA from 1 species
UUUAAAUUGAAGAGUUUGAUCAUGGCUCAGAUUGAACGCUGGCGGCAGGCCUAACACAUGCAAGUCGAACGGUAACAGGAAGCAGCUUGCUGCUUCGCUGACGAGUGGCGGACGGGUGAGUAAUGUCUGGGAAGCUGCCUGAUGGAGGGGGAUAACUACUGGAAACGGUAGCUAAUACCGCAUAAUGUCGCAAGACCAAAGAGGGGGACCUUCGGGCCUCUUGCCAUCGGAUGUGCCCAGAUGGGAUUAGCUUGUUGGUGGGGUAACGGCUCACCAAGGCGACGAUCCCUAGCUGGUCUGAGAGGAUGACCAGCCACACUGGAACUGAGACACGGUCCAGACUCCUACGGGAGGCAGCAGUGGGGAAUAUUGCACAAUGGGCGCAAGCCUGAUGCAGCCAUGCCGCGUGUAUGAAGAAGGCCUUCGGGUUGUAAAGUACUUUCAGCGGGGAGGAAGGGAGUAAAGUUAAUACCUUUGCUCAUUGACGUUACCCGCAGAAGAAGCACCGGCUAACUCCGUGCCAGCAGCCGCGGUAAUACGGAGGGUGCAAGCGUUAAUCGGAAUUACUGGGCGUAAAGCGCACGCAGGCGGUUUGUUAAGUCAGAUGUGAAAUCCCCGGGCUCAACCUGGGAACUGCAUCUGAUACUGGCAAGCUUGAGUCUCGUAGAGGGGGGUAGAAUUCCAGGUGUAGCGGUGAAAUGCGUAGAGAUCUGGAGGAAUACCGGUGGCGAAGGCGGCCCCCUGGACGAAGACUGACGCUCAGGUGCGAAAGCGUGGGGAGCAAACAGGAUUAGAUACCCUGGUAGUCCACGCCGUAAACGAUGUCGACUUGGAGGUUGUGCCCUUGAGGCGUGGCUUCCGGAGCUAACGCGUUAAGUCGACCGCCUGGGGAGUACGGCCGCAAGGUUAAAACUCAAAUGAAUUGACGGGGGCCCGCACAAGCGGUGGAGCAUGUGGUUUAAUUCGAUGCAACGCGAAGAACCUUACCUGGUCUUGACAUCCACGGAAGUUUUCAGAGAUGAGAAUGUGCCUUCGGGAACCGUGAGACAGGUGCUGCAUGGCUGUCGUCAGCUCGUGUUGUGAAAUGUUGGGUUAAGUCCCGCAACGAGCGCAACCCUUAUCCUUUGUUGCCAGCGGUCCGGCCGGGAACUCAAAGGAGACUGCCAGUGAUAAACUGGAGGAAGGUGGGGAUGACGUCAAGUCAUCAUGGCCCUUACGACCAGGGCUACACACGUGCUACAAUGGCGCAUACAAAGAGAAGCGACCUCGCGAGAGCAAGCGGACCUCAUAAAGUGCGUCGUAGUCCGGAUUGGAGUCUGCAACUCGACUCCAUGAAGUCGGAAUCGCUAGUAAUCGUGGAUCAGAAUGCCACGGUGAAUACGUUCCCGGGCCUUGUACACACCGCCCGUCACACCAUGGGAGUGGGUUGCAAAAGAAGUAGGUAGCUUAACCUUCGGGAGGGCGCUUACCACUUUGUGAUUCAUGACUGGGGUGAAGUCGUAACAAGGUAACCGUAGGGGAACCUGCGGUUGGAUCACCUCCUUA